rnacentral:sRNA from 1 species
UAUGAUGUUACAGGCCUAGGUGGCAAGC